rnacentral:lncRNA from 1 species
CACCAAGGUCCACUCCAGAGCACUGUUAGAUAAGGGGGAGCUAACUCGUAUGUGCUGGAACCAAGGGACAGGGGGUCAGUCUAUCGCUAGACUUAAUGUUCUGAUAGGCAUAGCUAAAACGCAAGGAAGGUUUUCAUAAUUUAAUUAACGAUAACGAUUUAAAUGAAUGAUAACAAAUCAAUCAAUAAACAAUGCCAAAUAAUAAUAAUCUAAUUAAAGUACAAAGUAUCAAUUCAAAAUAACAAAUCCAAAGUAAAACUAUUUCUCUUUAAAAUGUAAAAUAUAAAAUAAAUGCCAAAACUACUAAAACAUAAAAUGUACUUAAUCUCAAUUUCAGAAUGUAAAAGUCUCAAAAUAAAAGUUUCUCAAAAGUAUAAUUUUCUAAAGUUAAAUUAUGAGUCAGAGAUAAAUUUUGUCUCACACUACACAGUCAACUGGUAGACUGGUAGACAGUCUUAUAGGUCCAGUAUAAUGACAUGAGUAGUGUGAGGUUACGCUUCCGAAACACUGACUGCCUUUCCAAAAUUUCACAACAAUAUUUAUACCAAAAUCUAAAAUAAAUAAAUAUGUCUCGACACGUUAACAAUACUCUCAUUAGCAGAAAAUAGACAUUAAUUAACAAAGUCUAAUCCUAUAAUGUUUUGAUAAAAUC